AUACUUACCUGGCAGAGGAGAUACCAUGAUCACAAAGGUAGUUUUCCCAGGGUGAAGUUCACCAUUGCACCCCGGAGGUGCAGACCCCUGUGUUUUCCCCAAAAGAAAAAAAGAAAAGAAAGAAAGAAAAGUUUGUCCUCCCUUGGAUUGACUCCAUUCUCCUCCUGU
ensembl:snRNA U1 U1 spliceosomal RNA